GACGAAGGAUGCAAGCGUUAUCCGGAUUCAUUGGGUUUAAAGGGAGCGUAGGCGGUCUUAUAAGUCAGUGGUGAAAUCUCUGGGCUUAACCCAGAAAUUGCCAUUGAUACUGUAGGACUUGAGUACAGUUGCUGUGGGCGGAAUAUGACAUGUAGUGGUGAAAUACAUAGAGAUGUCAUAGAACACCGAUUGCGAAGGCAGCUCACAAAACUGUAACUGACGCUGAGGCUCGAAAGUGCGGGGAUCAAACAG
rnacentral:rRNA from 1 species